GCGCAGCCCGGGUUCCCGCCCGUUCCUCUCUCUCCACACCUGCCCGCAAGCUGAAGGAGCCAGCUCCAGUCUCAGCCAGCCCAGGAAGCGGCUCCCACAGUGCAGCGGCGGGCUGAAGCGCUCCUCAAGUGCCGCCAAAGUGGGAGCCCAGGCAGAGGAGGCGCCGAGAGCGGGCGAGGGCCGCAAGGGCUGCCAGCAUGCUGUCAUCUCUCAAGAGCUCCCUCAGAGGCCUAUGUAAGGUUUGUGAUCAAACCAGAAUGACUGAGCGGACUCCUGUUAGAGUCCUAUGUUCUCAGAGAAAUACUGGGGGAGAAAUCAAGAGGUGCUUUAUACUAAGAUAUUGACUUUGGUUGUGAGCAGUUCUUCUGGCUGAAUUGAUUUAUGAUACACUCUGUUGCUAUCCAGACAGUUUCCAGUGAAAUGACAAAGAAGUUCUGCUUCCAUACCCAACUAAUCAAUGGAAAGCAAAGCAAGACCAGACAAAACAAAACCUUUUAUAUAAAGUGACUGGAUAUUAAAUGUCAUGUUGUAUAUGCUAUGUGUGAAAAUAAAGAGCAGACAUACAUAUCUUGUUAAUCGAUAUUGCUAUUUGCUUUCCAAAGAUAAAUUUAUAUCUAGUACAGAGACUAUUAAAACUGUUGUUGCAUUGAAUGGUUUGUUUAAAAAUAAAUAAAUGCCCAUACAUGUUAUGUGAGUGUUAAUAUUUCUGCUUACAGCAUUAAUAUUUGUGAGAAUAUAGACAUUCAAACAUUUAAAUUAUUAAACAUUUAAAUUAGUAAUUGACUAAAUGAAAUUAAUAUUCUGGUAGAAAAAUGCCUAAUACAACAAAUUCUUUUGACAAAUUAAAGAAGACCAUGGAAUACAUUCAGAUUUCUCAAUUAAUUGAGAAAUUACUGUUUCUUAUAAUAUAUUACAGAUUAAAUAAUACAUUUUUACAAACUAUUUUCACUCUAUCUUAAAAUUACAUUCAUAUACUUCCAAUUGCAUUUGUUUUGAAGUAUCAUAAAUAUCACAAUGCAUGGAAUAUAAUACAAGAAACUAUCAUAUAUUAUCUGCAUAUUCCUAAACACUUAGUAGUGUGGGGCAUUGUGCUCAGAAAGUAAAACCUGUGGAAGUUGGAGACGUACAAGCCAAGGAGUUAUAGAAAGGUAGAGUGAGGACCGAUAUUAAUGGAUCUUGCAUGCCAUAAUAAGCCCUAAAGAAAUAUUGAUUAAUUUAAAAAGAAAAUAAGUGACAUAUCUGUAUUUGUUUGAGCAAGAUACCUAGGUACAGUGUGGAGACGGAAAAGGCUGUAGAUAAAUAGAAUAUUAUUCCUGUGAUACAAAUAGUAUAAGAAAAAUAUCUGAUAGGAGUGGUGACUGGACAGAGAAUGAAAAGGGAAUAUAUUUGUGAGGCAUUUUGAAUAGAAUGUUAUAACUUGGUUACUGAUGGAACAUGGGUGGCAAGAUAGAGGAAUGAGUUGAGAAUGUUUCUCAUAUUUCUAGCUCACAGAUUAUCUAAUGUGAGCAUUACAUUUAUUUAAUCUUUGUAUUAAUAUCAGUACAAUGUACCUUAUUAAUUUUUAAUUUAUUUAAUAACAAUGUUGAAUAUGUUUUAAUUUUAUACACAUUUGGCAAAAC
rnacentral:lncRNA from 1 species